rnacentral:rRNA from 1 species
UGCAUGGAAUAAUGGAAUAGGACCUCGGUUCUAUUUUGUUGGUUUUCGGAACCAGAGGUAAUGACUAAUAGGAACAGGCGGGGGCAUUCGUAUUGCGACGCUAGAGGUGAAAUUCUUGGACCGUCGCAAGACGAACUACUGCGAAAGCAUUUGCCAAGGAUGUUUUCAUUAAUCAAGAACGAAAGUUAGAGGUUCGAAGGCGAUCAGAUACCGCCCUAGUUCUAACCAUAAACGAUGCUGACUAGCGAUCCGCCGGCGUUAUUCCCAUGACCCGGCGGGCAGCUUCCGGGAAACCAAAGUCUUUGAGUUCCGGGGGAAGUAUGGUUGCAAAGCUGAAACUUAAAGGAAUUGAC